UACGUAGGGUGCGAGCGUUGUCCGGAAUUACUGGGCGUAAAGAGCUCGUAGGUGGUUUGUCGCGUUGUUCGUGAAAUCUCACGGCUUAACUGUGAGCGUGCGGGCGAUACGGGCAGACUUGAGCACUGCAGGGGAGACUGGAAUUCCUGGUGUAGCGGUGGAAUGCGCAGAUAUCAGGAGGAACACCGGUGGCGAAGGCGGGUCUCUGGGCCGAUAUUGACGCUGAGGAGCGAAAGCGUGGGGAGCAAACAGG
rnacentral:rRNA from 1 species